CACAUUUCCAAGGCCCAUUGGCAAUAGUGUGCACAUACAUAUCUGACCAGUCAGAGUUCUCCAUUCAUAGACAAGUAAUUAGUCCAUAAAUCAGUAUACGAUCCAAACUGGGUUAAUAAGAAUCUGGGCUGGGUCUUGCACUGAAGCCAUUUGGCAAAACACAUACUUUUAUUUUUCUUGCAUGUCAGUCUCCAAGGAACAUGUAAGUUGACAGUUGCCUGGGAAACUUGCUGCUGUAUUGGACCACAUCUAUCUGAGAGUGAGUCCAAAUUGAAAUACGGAUAGAAAGAUAAAGAGUUCUUACAGCUCUUUGAAUUCCUGGAGCCAGCCAUGCCUGAAGAUAGUGCCAUCCUUUGAGUCAAUAAGUUAUUUUUGUGCUGAGCUACAACCAACAGCUUGAUGACACAUGCAGAGAUGGAAUACCCUGUGUUCAAGGAUGACAGAGGUUAAGUGGGCAAAAGAAUCGUGAAUGUUUUCAAUGGAGUCAAUAAAAUUAAUGAUAGGUAAAUAAAUCCAAAUUGAAUGAA